rnacentral:lncRNA from 10 species
UUAAUAUAAAAACUACAAAUGAUACAUUUUACUUUUUUUUUUCAUAACCCAAUGUGUAAUUUCUACUUCCAGCACAUCUCCAUUUGGACUAGCCACAUUGCAAUUGCUCAACAGUCACAUGUGGCUAGUGGCUAUCAUAUGGGACACCAAAGUUGUACAGCCUUCAGGAAGAUCCUAUGAAGACCAAACAGUUACCAGAUUGGUGGGGCCAACUGGUUCUUUUAAUCCAACUCCUUCAUGCAAUGUCCAGUGCGCCCACUCCCAGACCUUUCUGUAGGCGCUGCCGCUGAAUCAAUACAGAGUCAAGAUUGCAGUCUGCAUGAGAUAGAGUCCUAGCGGGGAAGAAGCCUCCACGGUCUGUGAGUGGCUCCCAAAGUCUCAAGCCCACUGUGCUGAUUUGAGCAUUUGGCUCAGCCUUUUCUGGUCAUCACCAACGUUCACCUGGCCAUGCUGAUGGCAGCACGCAUGGAUCUGGCCAUUCCCACAGCCUGGU